rnacentral:rRNA from 1 species
CCUACGGGUGGCAGCAGUGGGGAAUAUUGGACAAUGGGCGAAAGCCUGAUCCAGCCAUGCCGCGUGUGUGAAGAAGGCCUUCGGGUUGUAAAGCACUUUCAGUGGGGAAGAAAGCCUUGGGGCUAAUACCCUCGAGGAAGGACAUCACCCACAGAAGAAGCACCGGCUAACUCCGUGCCAGCAGCCGCGGUAAUACGGAGGGUGCGAGCGUUAAUCGGAAUUACUGGGCGUAAAGCGCGCGUAGGCGGUCUGAUAAGCCGGUUGUGAAAGCCCCGGGCUCAACUUGGGAACGGCAUCCGGAACUGUCAGGCUAGAGUGCAGGAGAGGAAGGUAGAAUUCCCGGUGUAGCGGUGAAAUGCGUAGAGAUCGGGAGGAAUACCAGUGGCGAAGGCGGCCUUCUGGACUGACACUGACGCUGAGGUGCGAAAGCGUGGGUAGCAAACAGGAUUAGAUACCCCAGUAGUC